ACAAGAUUCUCUCUAGUUUUCAUUUCUUCCUUUUAUAUAAUUUCAUAACAAGUCCAUUGCCUUCUUCACUCCAUUGUUUUCUUUACCUCUUAUUAACUGUUAUUUAUAAGUUUAAAAGAAUAAAUUAGAAAAAAACCGACCCCUACCCCCUCCAUGUUUGGUCUUUAUCAUCUUUUUCUCGGCUUUUGCUUCAUCUUCUUCUCUAUUUUAAAUCUCUUCCCCUUAUUUCUUUUUUUUUCUCUUCUUUUUGGAUUUGUUUUGUUUUUAAUUUUAAAUUUGAUUUAUGUUGGGGUUUAAUUUGGUAGAAGAGACAGACAAAGAAAUAUAUACGUAUUGUGGUAGAAAACCAUCAAAACCACUGCAACAUCACACAUCAAUUCAACUAUUGAGUUGUUAUAAUUUUUUUUCUACUUCUUCUGUUGUGUGCUUUUUUAAGGUUCAAAUUCUUUAACUGUUUUAAAGAAAAUAACUUUAAAUUUGCAUUAAUCUUAUCGAAAAAUAGUGUUUAACCCGAAUUUUCUUGAUUCAAAUGGUGUUUCAUUGGAAUUCUAUUCUAUGCAAAAUUAUUGUAAUAAUUAAAAAUAUUACUAUGAUGAGUCUGUUAUAUGAUGUAUGUAUGUAUAUAUAUAUAUAUAUAUAUAUAUAUAUAUAUAUAUAUAUAUGUUUUACGUUUUGUAAGGUAUAGAGAGAGAGAGAGAGAGACGCAGUAGAGAACAAGCCGAUGCAGAUGAACUGGACAAGGUAAAAUAAUGAGUCAAAUUAUAGGCGAGGAGUUGGGGAAGACAGUUCAACGCUGGAGAGGGCCCAAGCAACCAAUCCGGAGCAUGUCUUCAGGGAAGGGAACAAAGUGGCUGACCUUUUGGCCAAAACAGCUAGGAAUGAAGCAGUGCAAGGGAGCCUUGUUAUCCUACCAGUUCCUCCUUGUUUGUAUUGCGCACUAUUGAUGCAGACAAAUCAGGAACUAUGUACUUUAGGAAAUUUCGUGUCUGUAAUCUACUUUCUAAUAGCCAAGUCUUGGCUCAACACUCUUUUGAUGCCCCCGGGCAGCUUUGUAACUUAGCUACGCUAGUUUUAUUCUAAUAUAUGCUCCCUUUCACCAAAAAAAAAAAAAUAAAGAGAAUGAAAAGUCUA